rnacentral:rRNA from 1 species
CUACGUGCCAGCAGCCGCGGUAAUACGUAGGGUGCGAGCGUUAAUCGGAAUUACUGGGCGUAAAGCGAGCGCAGACGGUUACUUAAGCAGGAUGUGAAAUCCCCGGGCUCAACCUGGGAACUGCGUUYUGAACUGGGUGACUAGAGUGUGUCAGAGGGAGGUAGAAUUCCACGUGUAGCAGUGAAAUGCGUAGAGAUGUGGAGGAAUACCGAUGGCGAAGGCAGCCUCCUGGGAUAACACUGACGUUCAUGCUCGAAAGCGUGGGUAGCAAACAGGAUUAGAUACCCUGGUAGUCCACGCCCUAAACGACGUCAAUUAGCUGUUGGGCAACUUGAUUGCUUAGUAGCGUAGCUAACGCGUGAAAUUGACCGCCUGGGGAGUACGGUCGCAAGAUUAAAACUCAAAGGAAUUGACGGGGACCCGCACAAGCGGUGGAUGAUGUGGAUUAAUUCGAUGCAACGCGAAGAACCUUACCUGGUCUUGACAU